UGUUAUUUCGCGUAUUAUUACAAGAUUAUUUUCAUUUCCCUCAGGUCAUACUUAGUUGUGCUGUCGUUUCUGUGAAUUUAACUUUGAAUUUGAACCACAUGGUUUUAUUUAGUACGUUAUAUUAAACGUUAGCUAAACUGACUAAUCUGAGCUAUGUUGCUAUAUUAUAUUACUUUUUGUUUUUAUUUAUUUAGUAGGCCUAGUAUAAUCAUAAUAUAUAAAUUUUUGACAUUUAAGAAGAAUAUACUUGGUUUGUAUUCCUGAAAAAUUGGCGAGUACCUCGUGUUACCAACAAUCAAUGUUGGGAACUCCCUUCAACUUCUGGACCAUGAAAAACAUCUGCUGAGAACUUGCAGAACAGACUUUUUUUUUCUGCCAGGAUCAAGAAAAAGAGAAAAAGCUACAUCUGUGACCACCCAAACACGGAAGUAACCAGGACACACCUGGAGUCAUAAACUGUGGCAAAGGGCCAAACCUUUGGAUCAUAUGCGGAUAGAGAGGCAAUACCUGAAGCACAAUUCCUGGUGACCCAUGAGUGGAUGAAAGAAACCGAGAGAGAAAGAGGGUCUGAACAGUUUGUUCACCCGGGUGAAGGCUAGAAGAUCAAGUUCCUGAAGGAAUGUUGCCAUAGCAGUGUUAGAAUGGAUUGCUUUUGUCGGGUGGAGCUCAGAUGUGGUCAUUACGGAAAGAUCCUUCAUCUUACCUGCCGGGGGGUUCGUGCUCCGUCCCAGGACUUGACCAAUCAUUAAUAAAGAUGACGAGUCCAAAUUUGACAUUCUUGUUGGAAAUCACGGACGCCGUGUCCUCCGGGCUAAAGAGGAGGGAGACCUUCCAGCGUGUUAUCAGCGUUCAGUUCAAAAUCCAGCAUCUCUGAUAGUAUGGGGGUGCAUAAGUGCAUACGGUAUGGGCAGCCUGCAUGUUUUGGAAGGCACUAUCAAUGCUGAAGGUAUAUAAAGGUUUUAGAGCAACAUAUGCUCCCCUCCAGAUGACAUCUAUUUCAUGGAAGGACUUGUGUAUUCCAGCAGGACAAUGCAAAACCACAUACUGCAGCUAUUACAACAGCAUGGCUUCGUCGCAGAAGAGUCCGGGUGCUGAAUUGGCCUGCCUGCAGUCCAGAUGGCACAUCAUUAAACGAAAAAUACGUCAAAGACGACCACGAACUCUUCAGCAGCUGGAAACCUAUAUCAGGCAAGAAUGGGACCAAAUUUCAACACCAAAACUCCAGAAACUCAUAACCUCGAUGCCCAGACGUCUUCGCACUGUUUUGAAAAGAAGAGGAGAUGCUACACCGUGGUAAACAUGCCCCCGUCCCAACUAUUUUGAGACCUGUAGCAGGCAUCAAAUUUGAAAUGAGCUCAUUUAGUGGAUAAAAGUGUAAAAUUUCUCCGUUUAAACAUUUGUUAUGUUAUCUAUGUUCUAUUGUGAAUAAAAUAUUGGCUCAUGUGAUUUGAAAGUCUUUUAGUUUUCAUUUUAUUCAAAUUUAAAAAAUGUCCCAACAUUUCCGGAAUUCGAGUUGUAUUUUGUUUAAAAUAAUUCUGUAAUGCAAAUGACUGAUGGAAAUUUUAGAAUAAGAUGUCCGGCUCCUUAAUCCUGAUAAGGCUAAUUUUAUAGUUAUCACU